UACAGAGGGGGCGAGCGUUGUUCGGAAUUACUGGGCGUAAAGGGCGCGUAGGCGGCCAACUAAGUCAGACGUGAAAUCCCUCGGCUCAACCGGGGAACUGCGUCUGAUACUGGAUGGCUUGAAUUCGGGAGAGGGAUGCAGAAUUCCAGGUGUAGCGGUGAAAUGCGUAGAUAUCUGGAGGAAUACCGGUGGCGAAGGCGGCAUCCUGGACCGACAUUGACGCUGAGGAGCGAAAGCUAGGGGAGCAAACGGG
rnacentral:rRNA from 1 species